rnacentral:tRNA from 1 species
GCCGGGGUGGUGAAAUUGGUAGACACAGCAGACUUAAAAUCUGCCGCCGUCAGGCUUACGGGUUCGAGUCCCGUUCCCGGCA